rnacentral:rRNA from 1 species
AGAGUUUGAUCCUGGCUCAGAACGAACGCUGGCGGCGCGCCUAAUACAUGCAAGUCGAGCGAGAAGGUGUAGCAAUACACUUGUAAAGCGGCGAACGGGUGAGGAAUACAUGGGUAAUCUACCAUCGAGUGGGGAAUAACCAGCCGAAAGGUUGGCUAAUACCGCGUACGCCUCCGGGUUUUCGGAUCCGGAGGGAAAGCCGCACUGUGAGUGCGGCGCUCUUUGAUGAGCUCAUGUCCUAUCAGCUUGUUGGUAGGGUAACGGCCUACCAAGGCUUUGACGGGUAGCUGGUCUGAGAGGACGAUCAGCCACACUGGCACUGCGACACGGGCCAGACUCCUACGGGAGGCAGCAGUAAGGAAUAUUGCGCAAUGGGCGAAAGCCUGACGCAGCGACGCCGCGUGGGGGAUGAAGGUCUUCGGAUUGUAAACCCCUUUCGGGAGGGAAGAUGGAACGAGCAAUCGUUCGGACGGUACCUCCAGAAGCAGCCACGGCCAACUUCGUGCCAGCAGCCGCGGUAAUACGAAGGUGGCAAGCGUUGUUCGGAUUCACUGGGCGUACAGGGUGUGUAGGCGGUUUGGUAAGCCUUCUGUUAAAGCUUCGGGC